AUUCCUCCUUCAGAAGUUAGAAAAAUUCGCAUUUCCUCCCACAGCUCCCUCCCUCAGACUUUCCCCCUUUUCCCUCCCUCCAAAUCGUUCUCUCCCCCACCUCCUUCGACAAAAUAAAUUUUAAAAAAGAAAGAGUUAGGUUAUGGCAACGGAGUCAUGGGAAGGAGAAGAUGAAGGGAAAGUUACAGGUGGAAAUCCAAUGCUGAUAGUAGAAGAUGACCUUAGAGAAAUGGGGAAGAAGGUGACCUGGAGUGUCAGCUCUUGCAAGCCCAACAAUGGUGUCUCUUCCUCCGCGACGACAACCCGAUACCUAUUGCAGUAAUCAAAUUACACUCACCCUCCAAAACCAAUUUCUCCCAUUUCCUCCCCUUUCUAUCUUUGAAAACCUAACCAUUGCAUUUAUUAUAUUGCAUUUUUGGGUUUCAAAUGAUACGGCGCACAACCUCAUUUGGUUAAUAUUCAAUUCCAAAAGAAGGUUAAGCUUCAAUUAGUUGUUCUUUAUUUGGAUUUCAAGCUUGAUGAGAGCUAUACUGCGAGUAAGAUAUCCAUUCGUGCCGGUGAUGGCUCCUACAACCUAAAGGUAAGUUCUCUGUUUCGAACUAUUGAUAAUACGUUUGAGUGAUUACGUCAAUAUUGAUUUAAUCGAAACAUGUAUAAGUUAGGCAGUGAUUUACAUCUUUUGAUCUGUUCUCCAAGUCAAUUUGGUUAAUCUGCUUGUGCUUUGUGAAAAUAUUUUUAGGAGAUAAAAACAAUGGAACUUGUCAAGCCAACUGUUUGGGCUUAUCUAUACUUGUCUAGAAAUGAUCCUAGCCUUGCAUUUGAGAGCUUCCAUAAAUUCCUAUGAAGAAGCUGUAGCUAUUGGUUAUUAUUGAUACAAGUCAUGUUAGAGCUAGAAGAAGCCAAUCUACUGCUAGUUACAGCUUAGCAGAAUGGGUUAGAAGGGGAAAGAUCAAUGAAAAACUUAGAUUCUUGUAUGACAUUGUCCUUGGAUGCUAUAAGAGCAUGGGAAUGGCAGUGAUGCUGGAUGAGAUAAUUAAUUAUGUCCGGUCCUUACAGAAUCAGGUCAAGUUCCUUUCCAUGAAGCUUACUGCAGCAAGUUCAUUUUAUGACUUCAACUCAAACACAAAUGCUUUAGAAACAAUGCAAAGAGCCAAGGCAUACGAGGCAAAAGAGUUGGAAAGACUGACGGAAGAAGGGUAUGGAGGAGUCACUUGCUUCCACUCAACCUAGUCCCUUUGACUUCACUUUUGGGAGUCACAUCCAUACAACAUGAAGGAGCUUCGUUUCACAAUAUUUCCAAUUUGCAAAUAGUUAUAUAUUUGUCAUCGCUUCAUGCUAUACAAGCACAAGUGGAGAUUCAUAGCUGUAUAAGUCCUAACAACAAGUUGGGAAAUUGAAUUGAGAUUAAUUAAAAAAAAAAAAAAAAAGGCUUAGAACUUUUAUUUCAAAAAAAGAAAAUUGAUAUAAGUAAGUCCUCAAGACAAGAUAGAAUAUAUGAUCUAUAUGUUCUCAAUAGGAUGAUACUCUACACUGGCCAUGCAAUUAGAUGAAGU